UCUUGCACUCUUAGACUUCACUCAGGCCUUCACCCACUGGCAACCUGAGCUCAUUCUGUGCUAAGAAAACAAAGUUGUGAAAUAGGGAGUCCCUCUUUUCCCCAGCAGCUGAUGUACAUAGCUACCCCCAUUGGGGAUGAUUCUGCUCUCCUCUGAUUAAGGCUUCCUAUCAUCCAGAAUAAAAUCCCUGCCCCUUGUCCUUGACUAGAAGGCAUCAGCUCCUCUUGGAAAUUCUCCAUUUCCCCCUCACUCUCUCUGCUCCAGCCACACUACCUUCCCCCUCCCUGUCCCUUGGUCACAGGCACUUUGUCAAGCCUUUGCACAGGUGUUCUCUGCUGCAACGUUCAUCCUACCUUGCCAGAUCUUCUCCACAGUCAAGUCUCAGUUCACUCUCCCUGUCGUCCGACUGUCAUCAGAAGUAACCCAGGCUACUCUCUCAUCCAUAACCCUGUCUUCUUUUCUACAGAUCACCAGUCACCUUCUGAAAGUUUCUUGUUUAUUUAUCUCUUCAUUGCUUCUUCCCUCACUGGAAACAAGUUCCACGACAGCACGGUCUUUAUUCUUCCUAUUACCUGAC
rnacentral:lncRNA from 1 species